rnacentral:rRNA from 1 species
UUCGGGGGCAGAGUGACAGGUGGUGCAUGGUUGUCGUCAGCUCGUGUCGUGAGAUGUUGGGUUAAGUCCCGCAACGAGCGCAACCCUUGAUCUUAGUUGCCAGCAUUCAGUUGGGCACUCUAAGGUGACUGCCGGUGACAAACCGGAGGAAGGUGCCGAUGGGUUCAAAUCAUCAUGCCCCUUAUGACCUGGGCUAGGCUUCUGCUACAAUGGACAGAUCAAAGGGCAGCGAAACCGCGAGGUUAAGCCAAUCCCACAAACCUGUUCUCAGUUCGGAUCGCAGUCUGCAACUCGACUGCGUGACACUGGAAUCGAUAGUAAUCGCGGAUCAGCACGGCACGGUGAAUACGUUCCCGGGCCUUGUUGGACGAAAGUGUCACGCCGCAAGAGUUUGUGACACCCGAU